rnacentral:piRNA from 1 species
UCCUUGGGCAGGGGAAGGGCAGCACC